rnacentral:tRNA from 1 species
UUUCUUGUAGCUCAGUUGGUUAGAGCGUACGUUUGAUAAGCGUAAGGUCAUUAGUUCAAUUCUAAUCAGGCGAA